rnacentral:tRNA from 1 species
GGGCCGAUCGAAGGGCCGCGCCCCGCCCGCUGGGAUCGGGCGGGGCGCGGCGCUCGGAUCACUUCAGGUCGGCCUC